rnacentral:rRNA from 1 species
GCGCAGCAGUCGAGAAAACUUUACAAUGUGCGAAAGCACGAUAAGGGAACUCUGAGUGCCUCCUAAGGAGGCUGUUCAGGUGUCUAAAAAGCACCUGAAGGAAGGGCUGAGUAAGACCGGUGCCAGCCGCCGCGGUAACACCGGCAGCCCAAGUGGUAGCCACGUUUAUUGGGUCUAAAGCGUCCGUAGCCGGCUGGGGUAAGUUCCGUUGGGAAAUUUGGCUGCUUAACAGUCAAGCUUUCAGGGAAUACUGCCCGGCUUGGGGACCGGGGAGAGGGUCGAGAGGUACUCCGAGGGGGUAGGGGUGAAAUCCAUUAAUCC